UCCCUGGUGGUCCAGUGUUUAGGGCUCAGCACUGUCACUGCUGUGGCCUGGGUUCAGCCCCUGGUCAGAGAA
rnacentral:tRNA from 1 species